rnacentral:rRNA from 1 species
GGCCUAACACAUGCAAGUCGAGCGCCCCGCAAGGGGAGCGGCAGACGGGAGAGUAACACGUGGGAACGUGCCUUUUGGUUCGGAACAACCCAGGGAAACUUGGGCUAAUACCGGAUAAGCCCUUACGGGGAAAGAUUUAUCGCCAAAAGAUCGGCCCGCGUCUGAUUAGCUAGUUGGUGAGGUAAUGGCUCACCAAGGCUACGAUCAGUAGCUGGUCUGAGAGGAUGAUCAGCCUCAUUGGGACUGAGACACGGCCCAAACUCCUACGGGAGGCAGCAGUGGGGAAUAUUGGACAAUGGGCGCAAGCCUGAUCCAGCCAUGCCGCGUGAGUGAUGAAGGCCUUAGGGUUGUAAAGCUCUUUUAACGGGGAAGAUAAUGACGGUACCCGUAGAAUAAGCCCCGGCUAACUUCGUGCCAGCAGCCGCGGUAAUACGAAGGGGGCUAGCGUUG